GUUGUGUUUAUAAUGUUACAGAUUUAAAAGUUAAAAGGAAGAGUAUUUGUUCUUCAUUGUUCUGCUUUUGUGAUUUCAUUUCAAGAACUGCUUACUUCUUUAGGAAACAUACCAAUAACGUAGAGCAAUAAAGUUGAUGUUAAUUCAUAGGGAAAACACAACAGAGGAGAGAGUAACUAAAUACGAGAUGGUAGUUUAAUGCAGACGGACUCAGUUGAGGAGGAGAGUGGCUGGUAGAACCGCAGCAAGUGCAAGGAUGAUUAGCUGAGUCUCGGACUUGGAGCCAGAGGAUCUUAAACCAUAGCCUAAUCCCAUAAAACUGACACUGAAAACCUUGGUAAAAAGGGGCUUACCUGCGACCCGAGAGUUGUUCUUUCUACCUAGAGAGAUUUGAGAACCAUUUGAGCUAGAAGGUGGUGGAGCAACAGGCGAGGAAGGUGGUGGAGCAACAGAGGAGGAAUCACUAGGCACCCCUCCUACUAUGAACCGAAAACAUUUUCAUAAGUUUCAUGAAAACAGUGAAUCUCACAGAGGACAAAGUACAAGUUUCGUUUACGUACCAGGGGAGGUGGAGGAGGAGGAGGAGGAGCAAGAAGAUGAAUUGGCUGGAAUGUUGCAAAGUGGAGGCAAUUGUAGAGCAAGAGUUUGAUUGAUAGGAAAAGCAGGGGAUAAAGUAGAUGUGUUGUUGAGGAAGAGACAGAGACAGUUUGCUUCUUGGUUAUAGAUCUGGUUUAAGCUGUCACAGCAAGGCUGAGCCGGAAGCUGGACAAAGCCUUGAACGAAUGGACCACAUGGAGCUAAGGAAAGCAGUCUGGAGGCACAUGUAGAUGGUACUUGAGCAAGAACCAGUCGGAGAAAAAAUGGUGACAACAAGGAGAUUAGAAGAGUGAUAAAGAGAGUAGAAGAAGCCAUUUUCUCUAGGAGAUUUAAGUUUUCUUUCUUCUUUGUUUUGGAGAUAGUGAGGGGUUUUUUCUGAGUAUUUAAGGUCAGAAUCAAUUGGUUUGGUGUGAGAUGGUGGAUAGCUAUUGUUAUUGCACACAUGAUGUGUGUCAAAUUUGUUGCAACACUUGAGAAUUGAGAUCUUCAUGUUUGUGUAUUAAUUUGAGUUCAUUCGUAAA